rnacentral:tRNA from 1 species
CUAAGGAUUUGGCCGAAAGCGUCCGCUCUUGCAGUGGAAAGGGCUUCGUCCAUUUUCGCAGAACAUGCCGUCGUCCUCAUGUCCCUUCAUCCUGGAGAUUGCCCUUAUGGGGCAAUUAGCCUGAGCUGGCUCACGCCGCCCGCGGCCCUCCCUUUUCAUUAAGGGGUGACUAGCUUGGGUUGCGGUGGGGGCCGGUAGCUCAGGUGGUUAGAGCGCACGCCUGAUAAGCGUGAGGUCGUAGGUUCAACUCCUACUCGGCCCACCAUUCUCGCGAGAACCUGGCCAUGCUUCGCUUUGUGUGAAGUUAGCGAGGUUUGCCGCGGCUUAAGGGGCCUUAGCUCAGCUGGGAGAACACCUGCUUUGCAAGCAGGGGGUCAUCGGUUCGAUCCCGAUAGGCUCCACCAAGCGUAACCAGAUACUCCAGAGAUGAAGACACGAACUUGCGAUCCUUCGGGAUCGUAACCGAGGGAUUUGCCCUCUCUUUGACAUUGUGAAUGGGUUUUUAAUCGAUGCCGUGGCGCAUCGUGUGGCGACUUUAUCCGUAAGGAUUGGGGUCGUGGCAUGAAUGCGGCACAUUACAGAUGUAAUAUCUGGCUGAGAUUAUCGUCCGCACCUAGCACGACGCAGGUUUUAUGCAGGCCUGUCGUUGAUGGUGUGGAUUCUCAAGCGUGAGGUAAGAGCAUUU